UCUUUUGUAGGCUCUAAACACCUCAAGUG
rnacentral:piRNA from 1 species